GCUUGAUGUUCAGGUGUGCUUUAUUUUUCAGUGAUGAGAACAGUACGUGAAGCUCUGCUGCCCUCUUGUGUUUGGAUUCAAACUUUCAGCCUGAAUAUUUUCAGAAACAUUAAAUUCAGAUUUCAUUUAAUACUUUUUGCUGUCUUUUUCUUCCUUUUAGGACAAAAUACUACAUCUGUCAACAGCUAGCUGUGGAAAGGACAUAAACAUUUGACUUUUUUUUAUUUAUUUGGAAUCAAUUGUGUUUUAAGGCUAUAAACCAACAAAACUGCGACCAAAUGAUAUGUAAUGUAUAACCUACAUCGAAGUAUACUUAUUUGCAUAUUAGACUGGAAUACAAGACAUGAGCUACUCCUGUGAUAAGAUUGUGAUUAGCAAAUUCUAGAAUAAGUAAUAAAAUGGGGUAUUCGCUGUGUCUUUUCCAGUUUUCUGCCUCAUCACUCAGACCCAUCCAGUGUGUAAGAAGAUUUCGCAUUGCCUCUGGGAAAAGUUCAGUUGCCAGCUCCUCUGGAGGCGGCAAGUUUGUAAUGUGCUCAAUGUGUUGGGCCUUAAAACCUUCAACCCGGUGGCUAAUGGUGCUGUUGGCUGCAUUGAACUGCUGGCCAAGCCAACCUGCCACAGCCUUCAGCAGACUGCUUGAGUAGAUGGAGUAGCUCUGAAAAUGAGUUUGAAACAGGGCCAUCACAGUGUCCAUCAGUUUUUCCUCGUCAAUCAUCCCAGUAAUACAGUAUUCAACAUAGUCCAGGACCUUUGUGGCAGUCUUCAAAUGUUCUGCUUCAAUACUUGUAAAUAACUUCACUUUUUCCCCUAGGCUUCGAAGUUUCUGUGCAAGUAAAGUAGACUGGCUUAAGUUUGUUUGCUCUGAGGAACAGUAGUCAUGGUCUGAAGCUGCUGAAAUAUCUGACUGAUCUGUGACUAUUGGAAAGAAGUUUGUUUCUACUUCGCCAAACUGUCGAUUGACUUGGUAUGAUGAACAUGUAUUAUUUUCCAAAAUUGUUUGCGCAUCUUGAUCAUUUUGGGGUUGAACAUCCUGGGCACCAAGAUGAUAGGUCAUGUUCAAGUUGUUGUCAUUUAUUCGAGAUUUCCAUACAUCCU
ensembl:lncRNA